CGCCGAAGGUGGGGCUAAUGACUGGGGUGAAGUCGUAACAAGGUAGCCGUACCGGAAGGUGCGGCUGGAUCACCUCCUAACAGGGAGACAACAAAAUGUUUAAUAUUAUUAUUUUGUCACCUUAGGUCGAUCGGUAUCUCACGUUCUUAAUUUGUUAAGAAUUUCAUUUCCUAAGUUUUUCUAGGUCACACCCAUUAUUUUUCCUGGGCCAUUAGCUCAGGUGGUUAGAGCGCACCCCUGAUAAGGGUGAGGUCCCUGGUUCAAGUCCAGGAUGGCCCAUAUCUCUAUGUUGGGGGUAUAGCUCAGUUGGUAGAGCGCCUGCUUUGCAAGCAGGAUGUCAGCGGUUCGAGUCCGCUUACCUCCACUGAUUACCACCUCUUACAUAACUGGUAAAAAGGAAAUGUUUUGAGUUGUGAUCAUUAUUCUGAACGAAUCUAGCUUCCUAAUGAAAUCAUUAAGAUGCUGGACUCAUUGAAUUAAUUUCAUUGUUUUCAGAGAACCUUGACAACUGCAUAGAUUAUUUUUAAAGACAAUAAGCAUCUUUAAUGAUGCAGAUUUAUUAUUUGUGCGAAUGCAUUAAUAACAAUUCUAUUAAGUUGAUGCUUCAAUUUUUUGAAGUUAUUGGUCAAGCUACAAAGGGCUCACGGAGGAUACCUAGGCACACAGAGGCGA
rnacentral:misc_RNA from 1 species